AUCCCUAAUGUUGCUGCCGUUCACUGGUAUAUGGAUCCCAAGCCCAAAGAGGAGGCGAACGAGAAGUGAUCCUCCCUAGUUCUCUCUUCAGCGGUAAAGAUUGGAGACCUUAAAGUGAAAUCGACUGUGAAGGCUUUUCCUCCUCAAAGUGUCUGGAAUUUAGUCCUAUCUCUUUUACAGUGCAGUAUGCCUUCAGUUUUAUGUUUGUACUAGUGGAUUUAUAUGUGUUUAUUUUGGGUAAAAAUAACAUUAGCUUGUUUGAUCAACUUGUGCUUUUCAUGGUUUUUGCCUUUGACGAUCAACACAGGCAAGAGCCCAACAACAUUUGCACACCAGGUUAUACUAUUGCCUGGGUUGUGGUUUGCAAGGAUGAAUCUGCCAUAUUGCUAAUCUGAGGCCUCACUUUCUAAUCUGUAUAUUUGACUUAGCUUUAUUCUGUAUAUUGCUGUUAUUUUCUGUACUUUCUUUGAAAAAGGAAAAAGAAAAAAAUGGAGAAGAGUUUGCAGGUUCUUGGGUAACCUUUUUGAUUC